rnacentral:rRNA from 1 species
CUAUCAAUACCCCCUAACAACCCUAAACCCCCAAAUAUUAAACCAUUUUUUCCCCUAAGUAUGGGCGACAGAAAAGGAUAUAUCCCAGAGCUAUAGAAAAAGUACCGCAAGGGAAUGCUGAAAAAGAACUGAAAUAAACCAGUAAAGUUAAAAAAAGCAGAGACUUAUUCUCGUACCUUUUGCAUCAUGAUUUAGCUAGUAAAAACCAAGCAAAAAGUAUUUUAGUUUGUUUUCCCGAAACUAAGUGAGCUACUCCAAGACAGCCUAAAAACAUGGGCCAACCCGUCUCUGUGGCAAAAGAGUGGGACGAUCUUAGAGUAGUGGUGACAGACCUACCGAACUUAGUUAUAGCUGGUUGUCUGAGAAAUGAAUAGAAGUUCAGCUUUUUGGUUUCUCCCCUCCAACCUGCUCUAGCCACAGCUGACUCAAAGAAAUCAAAAAAGUUAAUUAAAGGGGGUACAGCCCCUUUAAACCAAGAUACAACUUCCCUAGAAAGGUAAAGAUCAUAAUCAUCAAGGCAAAAUGUUCUAGUGGGCCUAAAAGCAGCCACCUAUAAGAAGGCGUUAAAGCUCAGACAUAACUACCAACCUACAAUUUAGAUAAGCCAUCUAAACCUACUAAUCUUACCAGACCGCCCCAUACCGACAUGGGGGUGAUUAUGCUAAUAUGAGUAAUAAGAAAGACUAGUCUUUCUCCUUGCACCUGUGUAAAUCGAAACGGACCAACCAUCGAACAUUAAUCGGCCCCAAUAAAAGAGGGAAAUGAGCCACAACCCUAUUAACAAGAAAAACACCCAAAAAAAACCGUUAACCCCACACUGGUGUGCUUACAAGGAAAGAUUUAAAGGAAGAGAAGGAACUCGGCAAACCUAAGCCUCGCCUGUUUACCAAAAACAUCGCCUCUUGCAAGUAUAGUAUAAGAGGUCC